UACGGAGGGUGCAAGCGUUAAUCGGAAUUACUGGGCGUAAAGGGUGCGUAGGCGGUUUAAUAAGUUAAGUGUGAAAGUCCCGGGCUUAACCUGGGGAAGUCAUUUAAGACUGUUAGACUAGAGUAUGGGAGAGGGUAGUGGAAUUUCCGGUGUAGCGGUGAAAUGCGUAGAGAUCGGAAGGAACACCAGUGGCGAAGGCGGCUACCUGGCCUAAUACUGACGCUGAGGCACGAAAGCAUGGGGAGCAAACAGG
rnacentral:rRNA from 1 species